rnacentral:rRNA from 1 species
UAGAGUUUGAUCAUGGCUCAGAUUGAACGCUGGCGGCAGGCCUAACACAUGCAAGUCGAGCGGAAACGAGAAUAGCUUGCUAUUCGGCGUCGAGCGGCGGACGGGUGAGUAAUGCCUGGGAAAUUGCCCUGAUGUGGGGGAUAACCAUUGGAAACGAUGGCUAAUACCGCAUAAUAGCUUCGGCUUAAAGAGGGGGACCUUCGGGCCUCUCGCUUCAGGAUAUGCCCAGGUGGGAUUAGCUAGUUGGUGAGGUAAAGGCUCACCAAGGCGACGAUCCCUAGCUGGACUGAGAGGAUGAUCAGCCACACUGGAACUGAGACACGGUCCAGACUCCUACGGGAGGCAGCAGUGGGGAAUAUUGCACAAUGGGCGCAAGCCUGAUGCAGCCAUGCCGCGUGUAUGAAGAAGGCCUUCGGGUUGUAAAGUACUUUCAGCAGUGAGGAAGGGUGUGUAGUUAAUAGCUGCAUACUUUGACGUUAGCUGCAGAAGAAGCACCGGCUAACUCCGUGCCAGCAGCCGCGGUAAUACGGAGGGUGCGAGCGUUAAUCGGAAUUACUGGGCGUAAAGCGCAUGCAGGUGGUUUGUUAAGUCAGAUGUGAAAGCCCGGGGCUCAACCUCGGAACCGCAUUUGAAACUGGCAGGCUAGAGUACUGUAGAGGGGGGUAGAAUUUCA